rnacentral:rRNA from 1 species
CAGCCGCCGCGGGAAUACGUAUGUCACAAGCGUUAUCCGGAUUUAUUGGGCGUAAAGCGCGUCUAGGUGGUUAUGUAAGUCUGAUGUGAAAAUGCAGGGCUCAACUCUGUAUUGCGUUGGAAACUGUGUACCUAGAGUACUGGAGAGGUAAGCGGAACUACAAGUGUAGAGGUGAAAUUCGUAGAUAUUUGUAGGAAUGCCGAUGGGGAAGCCAGCUUACUGGACAGAUACUGACGCUAAAGCGCGAAAGCGUGGGUAGCAAACAGGAUUAGAUACCCCCGUAGUCCCUGUCUCUUAUACA